GUCUAUGGCCAUACCACCCUGAACACACCCAAUCUCGUCUGAUCUCAGAAGCUAAGCAGGGUCGGGCCUGGUUAGUACCUGGAUGGAAGAAAGGGUGAGAUAUAGAGA
rnacentral:rRNA from 1 species